rnacentral:rRNA from 1 species
UACGUAGGGUGCGAGCGUUGUCCGGAAUUACUGGGCGUAAAGAGCUCGUAGGUGGUUUGUCGCGUUGUCCGUGAAAACUCACAACUCAAUUGUGGGCGUGCGGGCGAUACGGGCAGACUGGAGUACUGCAGGGGAGACUGGAAUUCCUGGUGUAGCGGUGGAAUGCGCAGAUAUCAGGAGGAACACCGGUGGCGAAGGCGGGUCUCUGGGCAGUAACUGACGCUGAGGAGCAAAAGCGUGGGGAGCAAACAGG